UACGUAGGGUGCGAGCGUUAAUCGGAAUUACUGGGCGUAAAGCGUGCGCAGGCGGUUUUGUAAGACAGAUGUGAAAUCCCCGGGCUUAACCUGGGAACUGCGUUUGUGACUGCAAGACUAGAGUGCGGCAGAGGGGGGUGGAAUUCCGCGUGUAGCAGUGAAAUGCGUAGAGAUGCGGAGGAACACCGAUGGCGAAGGCAGCCCCCUGGGAUAACACUGACGCUCAUGCACGAAAGCGUGGGGAGCAAACAGG
rnacentral:rRNA from 1 species